AUGUGCAUGUGAAUGCCUGGAGAUCUUGUUAAAAUGAAGAUUCUGAUUCAACAGGUCUGAGGCGAGCCCAAGAGUCUGCAUUUUCAACAAGCUCUCAAGCGAUGCCAGU
rnacentral:pre_miRNA from 1 species